GCCGAGAGUACCUUUAUGGACGAUGCGCAAAAAGUGAUUGCAAAUUCAAUCACCCCCCUCACAAUCUUCUAAUGACUGCUCUAGCUGCGACCACCAGUAUGGGAACACUUAGUCAAGUGCCCAUGGCACCUUCUGCGGCUGCUAUGGCUGCUGCUCAGGCUAUUGUUGCUGCACAAGCUCUUCAAGCGCAUGCUGCUCAGGCACAAGCACAGUCUGGAAAAGAUUCGUCUGGUGACAAAGAUGGUAAGGCUGAAUCCCUUAAAAGAACUUUGCAAGUCAGCAAUCUCAGCCCACUUCUGACAGUGGAUCAGUUGAAACAGCUGUUUGGUUUCUGUGGUGCAAUCAUUGAUUGUAGCAUUACUGAAUCCAAACAUUUUGCUUACAUCGAAUACUCAAA
rnacentral:misc_RNA from 1 species